rnacentral:rRNA from 1 species
UACGUAGGAGGCUAGCGUUGUCCGGAUUUAUUGGGCGUAAAGAGCGUGUAGGCGGCCAGGUAGGUCUGGUGUGAAAACUCGAGGCUUAACCUCGAGAUGUCAUCGGAAACCAUUUGGCUAGAGUCCGGAAGAGGAGAGUGGAAUUCCUGGUGUAGCGGUGAAAUGCGCAGAUAUCAGGAAGAACACCAAUGGCGAAAGCAGCUCUCUGGGACGGUACUGACGCUGAGACGCGAAAGCGUGGGGAGCGAACAGG